AGUCGAGCGAGGUAGCAAUACCUAGCGGCAGACGGGUGAGUAACAUGUGGGAAUCUGCCUUUUGGUUCGGAACAACACGGGGAAACCUGUGCUAAUACCGGAUAAGUCCUAACGGAGAAAGUUUUAAUGCCAAAAGAUGAGCCCGCAUUUGAUUAGCUAGUUGGUAAGGUAAAAGCUUACCAAGGCGACAAUCAAUAGCUGAUUUGAGAGGAUGAUCAGCCACACUGGGACUGAGAUACGGCCCAGACUCC
rnacentral:rRNA from 1 species